GUGUGUGUGUGUGUGUGUGUGACUAUAUUCGUGGGCUCCAAAAACCGAGAGUUCAGUAUACUUGAGGGGUCCCAACAGCUUUGUGGGGCCAAAAUGCUAGACCCCACAACUUUAAAGGGCUGUUUGAGGGUUAAGACUUGGUUUUAGGAUUAGGGUUAGAAUUAGGUUAUGGUUAGGGUGAGGGUAGGGGUUAAGGUUAGGCAUUUAGUUGUGAUGGUUAAGGAUAGGGUAAGGGGCUAGGGAGUGCAUAAUGUCAAUGACAGGUCCCCACAAAGA